GUGGAAACAUCUCCGCACAA
rnacentral:miRNA from 15 species